GUGAACUCGCUGUUUCGUUUUGUCUCAUCACCUUGCUUGGAUUCGAGACAUUACAUAUUCGAGCUUCAUCUCAUCUCGCCUUAGUCACUAUCUUCUCAAUUCACCAGGAGAUAUGAUAUACCUUGCCUCACUUCGUCUAAUGUUGACAUAGUUUGGUCGUCUUUUAGGGUGUUUUCAAUUUAUGGUUUUGAAAGCUUUUCAAUGUUUUCCUUUUUCAUCAAACUAAGUGGAUCUUUUGCUAUAACUUGGAUCGAUUGAUUGAAUUAUUGCAGUGAUGGAAGAAGGUUUAUGGUCGAUGUACGGAGAAUUGGAGUUAGCAUCUUAUGGUUUAAGUAAGGAAUCAAUGGUAUUUUAUCUCUAUGUUGGUUAUUCUAUCACUCUUUUUUCGCUAAAGUGCAAAUAUCAUAUAAAAUGAAGAGAUGGUUUUACAACCUAAUGCAUUGAGUUCUUGGUAAAAAAAGGAAAACAAGAACCACAAUAAGCACCCUAGGAUACAACAAAGAUAGGAGAAUGUGAGUUUGGUUAAGCAGGACGUUGUUUCUCUGUUUCCAAAUGGCGUGGAUCACCAAGUGGACGACCAGCUUUCUCAAAGUAGGCGGGGAUCUCCUAUUCUCUACACGAGUCCAGCUUAAGAGAUCAGACCAUGUAGGAAGGGAAAUGGAUGGUAGUUGCAACCUGUCUUUGACUUUUUUCCAAAUGAACAAAGCAAAAUCACAGUGAAGCAGCAGAUGGUCUCUUGUUUCCUGGUGAAGGGAGCAGAGGUCGCAUAUUGUGUUGAUAUUCAUUCCCCAGGUUGAUAGCCUGGCUUUAGUGGGGAGGCGGUUCAAGUUUGAUGUCCACAUGUUGAAGGAGAGUCUCGGCGUGGCUCCUUUGAACCAGACUGAGCCAUACCAGUCCACCGGAGAGGCUCUAGGUCUGACGGCCUCCCAAGUACUAGCCGAAGAGAAGCCAAUACAGAUUUUGUCAUCAACCACCUAAUGAUACGAAUCAUUCUCCACGGAUUGUACCACGGAUUCAAAGUAUUCGAUCACUCUUGUUCUCGGUCCUAUACUUGGUGUGCAUUAUAUCUCAUGUAAGUAUCUUUUACUACAAUGUUGAUCAUAGCAAACUUUGAAUCCCAUAGUUUUGAUUUUAACUUUUGAGUCAUAUGGUGCAUAGUAAUGAUAAUAACGAAACGUUUGUA